rnacentral:rRNA from 1 species
CAGUCGCCGCGGGAAUACGAAGGGUGCAGGCGUUAGUCGGAAUUACUGGGCGUAAAGCGUGCGUAGGCGGUGAGUUAAGUCUGCUGUGAAAUCCCCGGGCUCAACCUGGGAAUGGCAGUGGAUACUGGCUCGCUAGAGUGUGUCAGAGGAUGGUGGAAUUCCCGGUGUAGCGGUGAAAUGCGUAGAGACCGGGAGGAACAUCAGUGGCGAAGGCGGCCAUCUGGGACAACACUGACGCUGAGGCACGAAAGUGUGGGGAGCAAACAGGAUUAGAGACCCGUGUAGUCCCUGUCUCUUAUAC